rnacentral:lncRNA from 1 species
GGGAUUAAGGCGUGAGUGACUGCGCCCGGCCAUUUUUUUGUAUUUUUAGUAAAGAUGGGGUUUCACCAUGUUGGCCAGGCUGGUUGCAAACUCCUGGCCUCAAGUGAACUGCCUACCUUGGCCUCCCAAAGUGCUGGGAUUGCAGGUGUGAGCCACCACACCUGGCCUCGUUUCAUCUUCAUAUCAGCACUGAUGUAGAUGGUCUUAUCCUCAUUUUAUAAAUGAAGAAAUGAAGGCUUACAUAGUAUGAUUGGUGAAAGGCACAAGGCUGAAUGGCACCACCAAAUGUGCUAUUGUGCCUGUGUCCCUGGCUCUAGGAAUACUCCUAGACCUGCCUCAAAGCUGCCGUCUAGUUCUUGAGGCACUUUGUGAUCAGUAGGUUAAUCCUUCUGACUUAACCCAAAAGCUUUGGGGCUCCACUUUCUUUUCCUCUCUGAAGACUGACACAGCUCCCAGAUAACCCCUCCCCACUUUGAGGACUUGAUGCUGUAGAUGGUUUUAAUGAAGCCAUGGCCUUCUCUGGCAAUACUGUAGGCCAUCGGUGCUCGGAACUUGCUCAAAUCUAUAGCAAAGCAGAGAGAAGCUCAACAGCAGCAACUUCAAGCCCUAAUAGCAGAAAAGAAAAUGCAGCUAGAAAGGUAAGAAGUCAUGAUGUAAAGCAAGUUCUUUACACAGCUGAAUUUCCACUCUUCCUUCUGGAAUGAUCACUUCUUGUCCUUAUUCUUCAUCAUUGUUUUCCCAGGAAUAGCAUCUCACUUGUCAUCCUGAUUUGAAGAUUUUAAAAAAUAAAAUUACAUUUGAUGGGAAGGAAAUAGAAAACUUGUUAAUAUCAAACCACCUCUAGUAGUUUGAGCAUGAAAGGGUCCACGAAGUUGGCUGGCUCUCUGAAAGAAGACUUUCCUAGGGCUGGAGAUUUCUCAUGGGUGGCUCUGGGUAGGGCUUUGCCUCUUUCUUUCUUCAUUCUGAACUCACACCAUUUCUUGAAAUCAUUUAAACCUCUAUAUCCUUCUCUAGAAGAAUUAGGUCUGUGGUUUACUUCAUCUUUUUUUCAGGGCCUCUAACAAUUUUGUUUUUCAGGUAUCGGGUUGAAUAUGAAGCUUUGUGUAAAGUAGAAGCAGAACAAAAUGAAUUUAUUGACCAAUUUAUUUUUCAGAAAUGAACUGAAAAUUUCGCUUUUAUAGUAGGAAGGCAAAACAAAAAAAAGCCUCUCAAAACCAAAAAAACCUCUGUAGCAUUCCAGCGGCUUGACCAAUGACCUAUGUCACAAGAGGUGGCGUGUAAGGAAUGCAGCCCCCUGAAGACAGCACUACAAGUCUGGGGGAGCCAGUUUUAACAUCAGUGCACAGCUGCUGCUGGUGGCCCUGCAGUGUACGUUCUCACCUCUUAUGCUUAGUUGGAACUAAGCAGUUUGUAAACUUUCAUCCUUUUUUUUGUAAAUUCACAAAGCUUUGGAAGGAGAAGCAAUAAAUUUUUGUUUUCAAAUGG